rnacentral:tRNA from 1 species
GGGAGGGUCGCAUAGCGGCAAUUGCAGCGGACUGUAAAUCCGCCGUCGACGACUUCGUGAGUUCGAGUCUCACCCCUCCCACCA